GAAGAUCAUCUAAGGCCGCAAGUAGGGAGCUCUUUGAACUGUCACACCAGAAAGUUCUUAUUUCUAUCAGAAUAAAAAAUCUCUUUUGAAAAAUGGUUGAUCUACUUGUGUUUUGGAUGAGUUUGAGAAUGGGUUGUUUGGACUUAGCAAUUACGAUGGAAGUUCUUUGACUUCAAGUAGUAGCUCCGCCGCACUACCGUGUUCG
rnacentral:lncRNA from 1 species